rnacentral:rRNA from 1 species
AACGUCCCAGUUCGGAUUGUAGUCUGCAACCCGACUACAUGAAGCUGGAAUCGCUAGUAAUCGCGGAUCAGAAUGCCGCGGUGAAUACGUUCCCGGGUCUUGUACACACCGCCCGUCACGCCAUGGGAGUCGGAAAUGCCCGAAGUCGGUGACCUAACUGAAAGGAAGGAGCCGCCGAAGGCAGGUCUGGUGACUGGGGUGAAGUCGUAACAAGGUAUC